AGCGGAGACGCCCCUGGUAAAGACUGUGCCGAUCUCCAAUCGGUCUCGAAGCGUGGUUCGACUAGGUGUC
rnacentral:ribozyme from 1 species